rnacentral:sRNA from 1 species
CUUCCAAAUAUAUAAACAGUUCUAAAAAGAAUUACACGUAAAAUAUCAUUAACAAUUGAAUAUUUGUUUCUACCAUAGAAAAAAACUCUUUCUUCCUGCACCCCCAUAAUUUCAUCCGGCACCCCAUAGCCCAAAGUAAAUAUGACAGAAAUGCCCUUAAGUUAAAAAUAAGAAAAUAUUUUUCCCUUUUUCCCUUGACGUAGCCGCCACAGUGAUCUCUGCACCUCCAUACAAGUUUCUCCACCUCCAUAACCUCCAUAUCUCCAUUGCCGCCGCACCAUACCUCCAUACAAGUUUCUCCACCACCGCACCUCCAUAAGUACUCCAUUGCAAAGUUCUGCAUCUCGCAAGGUUCUGCACCUCCGUAGCUUGAAGACCCAGUUGAUUCGUCCGUGCAUCCCUGAGAGUGAGAGGAUUACCGGAUUGUACAGUCCGGCACAUCAUUACGGAUCCCGAAGAUUACUGGAAAUCCGACACGUACAAAUACAUCUUGCAGACGUACUGCAGCCGGUCACCACCGCACACAAACCUGUUUACGAAAUAGUAACCAUGGAACUAACACCAUCACCUGUGUGCAAGAUGAACUUCCAUCCAUAAAUGCUACUGUUCAAAACCCUAAAUUAUUUUUAUUAUAUAUCUUAGGAACAGGAGUAAUUUUGGAGUUUUCAAAAGUAUAGGAAUGCGGGAAGAAAUUAUAGGGGUUCAGGAAGAAAACACCAACGAAAAAAGUAUUUUAAAAAUCAUAUUUUGCGGAGCUCAUGCUGGAGAAGAAAGCUGGGCCAGUGAUAGAUAGCCUAAUGGCAAGAAAUAAAUAACUACGGCUGUGGCAAGAUUCUUUUUUAACUUACAUUAAAUAUCAAAUUUUUAUUUCCUUCAUGCCAUGAUUUGAAGAUAUAAGAUCAUAAGCCUUCGCAGUCCCCCUUUAUUGCCGUUCCUACACCUGUAUCCUUUCUUAAUUUUGGUCUUAGUGUAUUUUUGGUUAAACAUAUGAAAUUAUUAACCUUUUGAUUAAAAAAAAAUUAAAGUAAUUUUAGCUUAGUCAUGGUUAUGUAUCCGUGUUUAACUUAAUCUUACUAUUAAACUUAUCGCAGUAAUUUAUUCCCUUUGUUAUUAGCUUUGACAGCAUCAUAAAAAAUAGUUCAUUAAAA